rnacentral:rRNA from 1 species
AACGUACGCUGGCGGCACGCCUAACACAUGCAAGUCGAACGAAGUAGCAAUACUUAGUGGCAGACGGGUGAGUAACAUGUAGGUAUCUGCCCUUUGGCCUGGAAUAACACGAGGAAACUUGUGCUAAUACCGGAUAAGUCUUUACGGAGAAAGCUUUAUGCACCAUUGGAUGAGCCUGCACUUGAUUAGUUUGUUGGUGGGGUAAUGGCCUACCAAGACUGUGAUCAAUAGCUGAUUUGAGAGGAUGAUCAGCCACAUUGGGACUGAGACACGGCCCAAACUCCUACGGGAGGCAGCAGUGGGGAAUCUUGCACAAUGGAGGAAACUCUGAUGCAGCGAUGCCGCGUGAGUGAAGAAGGCCCUUGGGUUGUAAAGCUCUUUCGUCGGGGAAGAAAAUGACUGUACCCGAAUAAGAAGGUCCGGCUAACUUCGUGCCAGCAGCCGCAGUAAUACGAAGGGACCUAGCGUAGUUCGGAAUUACUGGGCUUAAAGAGUUCGUAGGUGGUUGAAAAAGUUAGUGGUGAAAUCCCAGAGCUUAACUCUGGAACUGCCAUUAAAACUUUUCAGCUAGAGUAUGAUAGAGGAAAGCAGAAUUUCUAGUGUAGAGGUGAAAUUCGUAGAUAUUAGAAAGAAUACCAAUUGCGAAGGCAGCUUUCUGGAUCAUUACUGACACUGAGGAACGAAAGCAUGGGUAGCGAAGAGGAUUAGAUACCCUCGUAGUCCAUGCCGUAAACGAUGUGUGUUAGACGUUGGAAAUUUAUUUUCAGUGUCGCAGGGAA